UGAGAUUUGGGUAGUCCGUACGAGCGCACCCUAUCCUUAUUUGCCAGCGAGUCAUGUCGGGAACUCUAGGGAGACUGCCGGUGACAAACCGGAGGAAGGUGGGGACGACGUCAAGUCAUCAUGGCCCUUAUGGGCAGGGCUACACACGUGCUACAAUGGGCGGUACAGAGGGCAGCGAUGUCGCAAGGCGGAGCAAAUCUCAGAAAACCGGUCGUAGUCCGGAUUGCAGUCUGCAACUCGACUGCAUGAAGUUGGAAUCGCUAGUAAUCGCGGAUCAGAACGCCGCGGUGAAUACGUUCCCGGGCCUUGUACACACCGCCCGUCACACCAUGGGAGUGGGCUGUACCAGAAGUAGGUAGUCUAACCUUCGGGAGGACGCUUACCACGGUGUGGUUCAUGACUGGGGUGAAGUCGUAACAAGGUAGCCUUAGGGGAACCUGGGGCUGGAUCACCUCCUU
rnacentral:rRNA from 1 species